UACGUAGGCAGCAAGCGUUGUUCGGAAUUACUGGGCGUAAAGAGUGUGUAGGCGGUGCUCUAAGUUUGGUGUGAAAUCUCCCGGCUCAACUGGGAGGGUGCGCCGAAAACUGGAGUGCUGGAGCGCGGGAGAGGAAAGCGGAAUUCCUGGUGUAGCGGUGAAAUGCGUAGAUAUCAGGAGGAACACCGGCGGUGUAGACGGCUUUCUGGACCGUAGCUGACGCUGAGACACGAAAGCGUGGGUAGCAAACAGG
rnacentral:rRNA from 1 species